UACGGGGGGAGCAAGCGUUGUUCGGAUUUACUGGGCGUAAAGGGCGCGUAGGCGGCGCAACAAGUCACUUGUGAAAUCUCCGGGCUUAACCCGGAGCGGCCAAGUGAUACUGUCGUGCUAGAGUGCGGAAGGGGCUACUGGAAUUCUCGGUGUAGCGGUGCAAUGCGUAGAUAUCGAGAGGAACACCUGCGGCGAAGGCGGGUAGCUGGGCCGACACUGACGCUGAGGCGCGAAAGCCAGGGGAGCGAACGGG
rnacentral:rRNA from 1 species